rnacentral:lncRNA from 1 species
UAGUCGAUCGUGACAGGAGGAAGUCUGGAAGAGAUUUGGAGAGUAGUUGAUCACUGUAGAAAAUCGACUGAUAGUGAAGCCCAAAGAGCAUUUGAAGCGGUCCGAUAGAUGAAUGAAGGAGCUCAUUAUUGGAGAAGUCCGGAUGGCAUGAUAGGAGUUCGUUUGUUGGAGAAAUCUAGAGGACACUAUGGAAGGUCGACUGCUGGAGAAGUCUGGAUGGUACUGUGGAAGCUUGGACAAUCGGAGGAGAUCAGAAAGAUGCCGCACA